UACAGAGGUCUCAAGCGUUGUUCGGAUUCAUUGGGCGUAAAGGGUGCGUAGGCGGCGUGGUAAGUCGGGUGUGAAAUCUCGGAGCUUAACUCCGAAACUGCAUUCGAUACUGCCGUGCUUGAGGACUGGAGAGGAGACUGGAAUUUACGGUGUAGCGGUGGAAUGCGUAGAGAUCAGGAAGAACAUCGGUGGCGAAGGCGCUCUGCUGGACCAUAACUGACACUCAGGGACGAAAGCUAGGGGAGCGAAUGGG
rnacentral:rRNA from 1 species